GUCGGUUUCUGAAGAAACAAAAAAAAUCUCCACCGCUCUAUCUCCAGCUCGAUCGCUAUCUCUGAUCUUUUCCCCAACGCUUGCAUCUUCAGGUCGUUCUCUCCCACACCGUCCUUAUCUCCGUGCUUGGUGCUGGAAUACUUGGAGUGAAGUUUCGUACCUUCUUCUCACAUCACAAGCAAGCGUUCUGGUUCCUAGGAAAAAAAUCCCACCGCUGUUGCUCCUGUCCGUGCCCGGCCUUGCCUGGGCGACAUCAUCCUUGGCCGAUUCGCUCCAUCAGUCGCGAGCUCGGCACCCUGCUGCGGUCGGCGUAGUCGUCUUCAGCCACCGGACACCACUAGCCCUGCUUGUCUCCGUCGCGGCCCAGAAGCCCAGCCGCCCCUGCUACUCGUCCUUGUGCCUACACCCUGCCGCAUCCGCUCAAGCCACUGGACGCCGGCGUCGCGUUCGGUCUGGUCGCGCUCGUCCUUGCCUCUACAUCUACCAGCGUUCAGCGUCCUACAACUGCUCACCUGCUCCCCAUCGCAUUCAACACCGCCACAGCCUCAAGCGGCACUCGCUGAACAACAUCCUCCUCGUCGCGCUUGGAAUCCGCCACCUGACUCAUUUUUCCUUGCUCUGGUGCGUCGUCUCAUGGAGCUGCUGAACGCCGACGUCACCCUGAGCUCAUUCCACACCAGGUGACGUCUCGCUCAUCUCGUCGUCAAGCUGUCGUGAUAUUUAGCAUGAUUACGUUAUCCGUGGAUCAAUCGCUUGGUGAAACAAUUUUCUGGAGACUUGUCGUCACCUUGAAGACUUGUGAAAUUUUAUUUCCUUAGUCUUUGGCUCUUCUAUGCAACAAAGGCAAGCCCCGGUGUACUCACCACUUUCCUUGUUGUUUACAAAACUUUUAUCACUUGAUAUGCUGCAUUAGGUGAUAGGAGUUGCGUGAUCAAACAAUUUAUGCAUUAUCAUCCUUGAGAAUUUGAAUAAUCAUUCCUUGAUACCUAUUUUAUGAAAAACUAGUGCCGCUUAGCCCUGCUUAAAGUGAUAGGAUUUUGAAAUUUAUUUUGAUUACUGGUUAUUGUUAUGUGUGAAUGAACUUGAGUUAGAUAAUUAAUAUGAGACCAGACGGGUGGCUUGCAUCGUGAAAUGAGUCGGUGUAGUGCUCCGUCUGUGUCGAUUAAGGAUCGUUCGAUGUAGGCCUGUUGUGGUUGAGACUUUGCAACUAGCCACAUGCCUCGGUAAGCCUGAACCCGGCUAUUCCAUACGUGAAAAGACAACCGCGCAUUGGGCGUGGGAGAUGGUGGGAGUAGCGUGUACCCUCCUGGCUAGAGGUUGGACGGAGGAGUAUUGUGCUCCCGGGUAGCGCGGACCGGUUCACGUUGUGGAGGAUCUGUGGGAACGGUUGACAUAUGCAAGGGUUAAGUGCUACAUAUGUCAUGUGGUUAGGAAUCCCCAGCUGGGUAUAAUUGGUUCGAAUUGUCGUUGCUCCUCGAUUAUGGAGACUUGACCCUCCGACCACUCAUCGUAGUUAAUAAGUGAAACACGAAUUGGCUAAAAGAAAGCUAGAUAGGACAAGUGAAUGCUCUAGUUCAGGAAAAUCUAGAAACAGGUAAGAACGUAAAUUGAUAAUUAAAAGAUGGCUUAAGGAUCCACUAUUAGUAAGCGUUUCUGCAAAAUGAGUCCUUGAUUAUUGCUUAGCCUUACCUUGACUCCCUCUAGCCAGCAUACCCUUGAGAGUCUUUUCUUUAGUCGGAUAAGUCUUGCUGAGUAAUUGCGUACUCAGGGUUUUAUUCCCUGUUGUUUUUCAGGUCUUAGUUUUAUGCUGCUGAUGGUGGUGUUAAGUGUCGGUGGGCUCGACCUUCUUAUAAGUCUAAGUAACCCUUCUAUACUUCUUAUUAAGGAUGGUCUCUUGAGCUAGCAUAUAUUUCAAACUUAUACUUUUGUACUCACUCCGAUGAAAAUAAUAUAAAAUUUUUGUAACUUCUAAAAUUUGGUAAUAAAAUUUUCGCUGCAAAAAUAUUGAUGUGUGUGAUUCGUGUUUACUUAAUCUUGCGAUCUUGGUGGUAGUGGUUUAUCCGAAGUCCCCUGGGAUACUCGGACAGAUCAUGUUAAGUUAUCAGGCAUACAUGCAUAGCUGUUUCAGGUCUUUGAGACAAGGAUAGGUGCAUGUGGGUCCUAUAAUUUGGGAGGUUCUGCCACAUGGACUAUGGCUACAAAUUAAGCAAAGUCCCUCUCCAAUAUGAUAAUGAGAGUGCAAUCCGCUUGGCGGAUAAUGCCAUUGAACACAGCCGCACUAAGCACAUAGACAUUCGGUAUCACUUUCUGAGGAAUCAUCAGCAAAGGGGGAUAUCGAAAUAGCUUAUGUAAACAUCAAGAAUCAACUAGUCGAUAUCUUUACCAAGCCAUUAGAUGAGAAAACCUUUAGCAAACUUAGGAAUGAGCUAAAUAUACUUGAUUCUCGGAACUUUGAUUGAAACAUUGCACACAUAGCUAAUUUAUAUACCUUUGAUCAUAUCUCUUUCAUUUUGGUACAAAUGCAUAUUUCUUAUUAUUCUUGCGCCAAGACUACGACUAAUAUGUUUCCAAGUGUAUUUCUAUACUAAGUCGUAGAUUGAAAGGGAAUUGGAGUAUUUGACGAAGAUAAGGCUUCCACUCCACUCUAACGGUAUCAUUUACCCUUCGUCGCUACUCCGCUCUCUCUCCAAUUGGUAUAAUCCUUCACUCUUAUUUACUUGUACCAAUUGGAAAAAAGUAAAAACGGGCUCUCAAAGUCUCCGUUUUCGGCAAUUAAUGCCAAAGGAGAAGAUAUUAAGCCCAAAGCAAAAAGGACCGCACCACCAUUUCAAAAAAUUUCAAAAUAAAGUUUUAAUUGAUGAUUUUCACAUUGGUAUCCACACAAUGGAAAUCUCUUCAAUUGGUAUCUUUAAAGGUAGAUUUUCAAAAUUGGUAUCCAAUUCUUUAGAAGUUCAUCUUUAAAUUGGUAUCUAUUUUAAAACCCUCUUGAAAGCUAAGAGGAGAAUUUCAUUUAGGAGUUUUUUAGUCAAAGGAAAAGCAUUUGAAACAGGGGGAGAAAAUUCAAAUCUUGAAAAUGCUUCUUGCAAUCUUAUUCAUAUACCUUUGACUACUUGCAAAAGACUUUGAAAAGAUUUUCCAAAAGGAUUUGCAAAAACAAAACAAGUGGUGCAAAUGUGGUCCAAAAUGUUAAAGAAAAGAAAAGCAAUCCAUUCAUAUCUAGUGAGAUUAUCAAUUGGUUUAAUUUCAAGUUACCUAUGCACUUACCUUAUGCAAACUAGUUCAUCUCUGCACUUAUUAUUUGCUUUGGUUUGUGUUGGUAUCAAUCACAAAAAAGGUGGAGAUUGAAAGGGAAAUAGGGUUAACCUUUUCCUAUAAUUAGUUUUGGUAGUUGAUCGUCAACACAAACACAUGGACUAACUAGUUUGCCAAGAAUUCAUGUAUUACAGGUGCAUAAGGUUCAACACAAACUAAUAAAAGAUUCAAGUUAGGGACUAAAUUGAAAUGGAGCAAAGGCUUGAGUGUGCUGUGAACUGGCGCACCGGACAGUGUCCGGUGCACCAUGCCCGUACAACUCUGAAGCAGCCACUCUCGGGAAAACGCAGGCUAGCUCCGCUAUAAUUCACCGGACUGUCUAGUGUGCCAGUGGAGCAACGGCUAACUCACGCAACGGUCCACUCUGAUAGGAGCUACAAUGAGCAACAGUGCUACACAGAAGUCAGAGCAGCGAAGUCAGAGGGGCACCAGACUGUCCGGUGUGGCACCGGACUAUCCGGUGCCGCAAGAGGACAAAGUUCCAACGGUCGCCCGAGCUCCGAACCCUAACGGUUGGAUGACAUGGCGACGCAUCGGACACUGGACAAUGAGUGUCCGGUGGCACACCGGACUGUCCGGCGGCGCACCGAACUGUCCGGUGCGCCCAUCGACAACAGCCUCCCCAACGGGCCACCUUGGUGGUUGGGGGCUAUAAAUACCCCCAACCACCACAACUUCAAGCAUCCAAGUUUUCUGAACAUCACAUUCAAUACAAGAGCUCUAGCAUUCACUCCAAGACACAAUACAAAAGAUCAAAUUCCCCCCGAGUCCCAAAUCCACUCCAAACACUUAGUGGCUUGUGAGAGAGAGAUUUUUGUGUUCAUUUGAGUUCUUGUUGCUUGGAUUGGCUUUCUUAUUUUCAUAUUCUUAUUCUCAAGUGCUCUGUAAGCGAGGCAAGAGACACCAAGUGUGUGGUGGUCUUGCGGGGUCUUAGUGACCUGUGAGAUUAAGGAAGAAGGCUCACUCGGUCUAAGUGACCGUUUGAGAGAGGGAAAGGGUUGGAAUAUACCCAGUCUUUGUGACCUCCUCAACGGGGACUAGGUUCUUUGGAACUGAAUCUCGGUAAAACAAAUCACCAUGCUCACUCUCCUUAUUUCUUGGUUGAUUUGUUUUCCCUCUCUUUGUGACUUGAAGUUUAACUCUAACGCUAACCCUCGACCUUAGUGCAUGUUUAAGUUUAUAAAUUUCAGGUUUCGCUUAUUCACCCCUGUUGGGGCCUUCGUCUUCUGAAGGUCCUCAAAAACACGACUAACAUGUUUCCCAAGUUCAAAUAUAUAUACAGGGACCUUCGGCCUUGGGAUGAAGCUAUACAUGAUAUAAAAAGCAGGGAUCGGGAGAAGGAUGAACCAGUUCCGAAGCUACCUGUGGAGAAGCUUCGGCUUAACAGCAAAAAAUGGAACCGACCUAAAGGGGAAAAGGUUGUCUAGUCCUUGAUAGAUUAUCCCUAGGUCAAUAGUAAAUGUCAAGGGCAUGAAUGUAAUUUACACAGGCUGCGUCUUGUGCCUAUAAAUAGAUGAACAGUAGCACUGUAUUGUUCACGUUGACUUGUAUUCGCUUGCACGUCACUCUCGAGCCUUUUACCUUCUGUCAAGAUGAAGGUAUAAAUGUAAUUCGAUAUUGUUCAUAUUCAUUCAUGAUAUUAUAAUAAAAAUGUCCUGAUAAUAUUAUAUGAUUA